rnacentral:rRNA from 1 species
UACGUAGGGCGCAAGCGUUAUCCGGAAUUAUUGGGCGUAAAGGGCUCGUAGGCGGUUCGUCACGUCGGGAGUGAAAUCCUGGGGCUUAACCCCAGAACUGCUUCCGAUACGGGCAGACUAGAGGUAGGCAGGGGAGAAUGGAACUCCUGGUGUAGCGGUGGAAUGCGCAGAUAUCAGGAGGAACACCAGUGGCGAAGGCGGUUCUCUGGGCCUUACCUGACGCUGAGGAGCGAAAGCGUGGGGAGCAAACAGG